CCAAUCGAACCCGGAGAUAGCUGGUUCUCCUCGAAAUAGCUUUAGGGCUAGCCUCGAUAGAGUCAGGUGGAGGUAGAGCACUGAAUUUCCUAGGGGGCGUCAAAGCUUACCGAAGAAUAUCAAACUCCGAAUGCCAUAUAGAUGCUCAUCGGGAGUCAGACUGCACGAGAUAAGUUGGGCAGUCAAAAGGGAAAGAGCCCAGACCUGCUGCUAAGGUCCCAAAGUACGUGUUAAGUGGAAAAGGAUGUGGGAUUUCGAAGACAACUAGGAUGUUGGCUCAGAAGCAGCCACACAUUCAAAGAGUGCGUAAUAGCUCACUAGUCGAGAGGUCCUGCGCCGAAAAUGUCCGGGGCUGAAACACGACACCGAAGCACAGGAUACCGCAAGGUAUGGUAGAGGAGCAUUGCUGGCGCAACGAAGCAGUACCGGAAGGAGCUGUGGAGUGCCAGGAAGAGAGAAUGCCGGAAUGAGUAGCGAGAGAGAGGUGGGAAUCCUCUCGGCCGAAUAUCCAAGGUUUCCAGGGUAAAGCUGAUCUGCCCUGGGUAAGUCGGGGCCUAAGGAGAGGCAGAAAUGCGUAUCCGAUGGACAGCAGGUUGAGAUUCCUGCACUAUCUUAAAACAGAACUGUGGGGACAUUUGUGGAGAGCACAGGCGCGGAACGGAAAGCCGCGUGCAAGCGAAGGAGGAGUCACAUAGGAAAAACCGUGUGGCAAUCCAAAGGCGUGAUGCGGACCGAACUAGAGUAGGGAAGUGUGUGAGCCAUGAAUCAAGAAAAGCCGCUAUUGUUUUUAAGAUACCCGUACCGUAAACCGACACAGGUGGAUGAGGAGAGAAUCCUAAGGCCGGCGGAAGAAGCAUUGUUAAGGAACUCGGCAAAAUGACCCCGUAACUUCGGGAGAAGGGGUGCCACAGAGAUGUGGCCGCAGAGAAUAGGCUCAAGCAACUGUUUAGCAAAAACACAGGUCUAUGCAAAACCGUAAGGUGAGGUAUAUGGGCUGACGCCUGCCCGGUGCUGGAAGGUUAAGAGGAGAGGUUAGCGCAAGCGAAGCUUUGAAUUUAAGCCCCAGUAAACGGCGGCCGUAACAAUAACGGUCCUAAGGUAGCGAAAUUCCUUGUCGGGUAAGUUCCGACCCGCACGAAAGGCGUAAUGAUUUGAGCGCUGUCUCGACAAUGCAUCCGGUGAAAUUGAAGUACCAGUGAAGAUGCUGGUUACCCGCGCCAGGACGGAAAGACCCCAUGGAGCUUUACUCCAGUUUGGUACUGGGGUCCGGCAGUGCAUGUACAGGAUAGGUGGGAGGCUGUGAACCUGGAACGCCAGUUUCAGGGGAGCCAUUGUUGGGAUACCACCCUUGUGCUGCUGGGCUUCUAACCAGCGGCCUUUAUCAGGCCGGGGGACAAUGCCAGACGGGGAGUUUGACUGGGGCGGUCGCCUCCGAAAGGGUAUCGGAGGCGCUCAAAGGUUCCCUCAGAAUGGU
rnacentral:rRNA from 1 species